rnacentral:rRNA from 1 species
UACGAAGGGUGCAAGCGUUACUCGGAAUUACUGGGCGUAAAGCGUGCGUAGGUGGUGAGUUAAGUCUGUCGUGAAAGCCCCGGGCUCAACCUGGGAAUGGCGAUGGAUACUGGCUCGCUAGAGUGCGGUAGAGGAGAGUGGAAUUCCCGGUGUAGCAGUGAAAUGCGUAGAUAUCGGAAGGAACAUCAGUGGCGAAAGCGACUUCCUGGACCAAUACUGACGCUCAUGUGCGAAAGCGUGGGGAGCAAAUAGG